GAUGAACGCUGGCGGCGUGCCUAAUACAUGCAAGUCGAGCGAACAGACGAGGAGCUUGCUCCUCUGACGUUAGCGGCGGACGGGUGAGUAACACGUGGAUAACCUACCUAUAAGACUGGGAUAACUUCGGGAAACCGGAGCUAAUACCGGAUAAUAUAUUGAACCGCAUGGUUCAAUAGUGAAAGACGGUUUUGCUGUCACUUAUAGAUGGAUCCGCGCCGCAUUAGCUAGUUGGUAAGGUAACGGCUUACCAAGGCGACGAUGCGUAGCCGACCUGAGAGGGUGGUAGGCCACCCUGGAGCUGAGACACGGUCCUGACUCCUGCGGGAGGCAGCAGUCGGGAAUCUUCCGCAAUGGGCGAAAGCCUGACGGAGCAACGCCGCGUGAGUGAUGAAGGUCUUCGGAUCGUAAAACUCUGUUAUUAGGGAAGAACAAAUGUGUAAGUAACUAUGCACGUCUUGACGGUACCUAAUCAGAAAGCCACGGCUAACUACGUG
rnacentral:rRNA from 1 species